AUUGAACGCUGGCGGCAGGCCUAACACAUGCAAGUCGAGCGGAUGAAGGGAGCUUGCUCCUGGAUUCAGCGGCGGACGGGUGAGUAAUGCCUAGGAAUCUGCCUGGUAGUGGGGGAUAACGUCCGGAAACGGGCGCUAAUACCGCAUACGUCCUGAGGGAGAAAGUGGGGGAUCUUCGGACCUCACGCUAUCAGAUGAGCCUAGGUCGGAUUAGCUAGUUGGUGGGGUAAAGGCCUACCAAGGCGACGAUCCGUAACUGGUCUGAGAGGAUGAUCAGUCACACUGGCACUGAGACACGGUCCAGAAUCCUACGGGAGGCAGCAGAGGGGAAUAUUGGAAAAUGGGCGAAAGCCUGAUCCAGCCAUGCCGCGUGUGUGAAGAAGGUCUUCGGAUUGUAAAGCACUUUAAGUUGGGAGGAAGGGCAGUAAGUUAAUACCUUGCUGUUUUGACGUUACCAACAGAAUAAGCACCGGCUAACUUCGUG
rnacentral:rRNA from 1 species